rnacentral:tRNA from 1 species
GACUUAAUACUUUAAUAUAAAAGAUCUGAUUUGCAUUCAGGAAAUAAAUCUAUAAGAUUUUUAGGUCA